ensembl:lncRNA
GCUGCCUUGUUGUAGGCCGUUCUUUUGGGCUUUCCAUUUGCUCUUCUUAUCGUUUAGUUGAACGAAGAAGCGGCUGUUGUUGAGGAGUUUUUUUAAUGACUUGGCACAGGUCGAGGUCACCAGUCAUGUCAAAAAGUUUCCUGAUCCUGGUGCGGUGAUGGACAGUGUCGUAGGCAGCGGUGAGGUCUAUGAAAGCUGCUCUGGUCCUCAAUGUGUUGGGUGAGGUCUAUGAAAGCUGCUCCGGUCCUCAAUGUGUUGGCUGAGGUCUAUGAAAGCUGCUCCGGUCCUCAAUGUGUUGGGUGAGGUCUAUGAAAGCUGCUCCGGUCCUCAAUGUGUUGGGUGAGGUCUAUGAAAGCUGCUCCGGUCCUCAAUGUGUUGGGUGAGGUCUAUGAAAGCUGCUCCGGUCCUCAAUGUGUUGGGUGAGGUCUAUGAAAGCUG